UUCAUUCUGUUCAACCUAUGUUCACGACAUUAGGUUAAUGCCACUCGAUCUACCCUAGGUCCACGACACUAGGUUAGAUGUCAUUCUUAUUCAUCCUAGGUUCUCGACUCUAGGUUCAUAUCCGACCUAUGUUAAUUGCACUAGGUUCGAUGCCACUCGAUCUAUCCGACACCUAAUUGUUCACAUCGAGUUUCCAUAACCAUCCACAUUAUCAACAUGCAUAUUAUACUU
rnacentral:lncRNA from 1 species